rnacentral:rRNA from 1 species
AUUGAACGCUGGCGGCAGGCCUAACACAUGCAAGUCGAGCGAGCGGCGGACGGGUGAGUAAUGUAUGGGGACUGCCCGAUAGAGGGGGAUAACUACUGGAAACGGUAACUAAUACUGCAUACUAUCGGAUAACCCAUAUUGGAUUAGCUCGUAGGUGAGGUAAUGGCUCACCUAGGCGACGAUCCCUAGCUGGUCUGAGAGGAUGAUCAGCCACACUGGGACGGAGACACGGCCCAGACUCCUACGGAGGCAGCAGUGGGGAAUAUUGCACAAUGGGCGCAAGCCUGAUGCAGCCAUGCCGCGUGUAUGAAGAAGGCCCUAGGGUUGUAAAGUACUUUCAGUCGGGAGGCGUUACCAACAGAAGAAGCACCGGCUAACUCCGUGCCAGCAGCCGCGGUAAUAC